GUGGCGAACGGGUGAGUAAUGUAUCGGAACGUACCAUUCAGUGGGGGAUAACGUAGCGAAAGUUACGCUAAUACCGCAUAUUCUGUGCGCAGGAAAGCAGGGGAUCGCAAGACCUUGCGCUGAUUGAGCGGCCGAUAUCAGAUUAGCUAGUUGGUGGGGUAAAAGCUCACCAAGGCGACGAUCUGCAGCGGGUCUGAGAGGAUGAUCCGCCACACUGGAACUGAGACACGGUCCAGACUCCUACGGGAGGCAGCAGUGGGGAAUUUUGGACAAUGGGGGCAACCCUGAUCCAGCCAUGCCGCGUGAGUGAAGAAGGCCUUCGGGUUGUAAAGCUCUUUCGGCCGGGAAAAAAUCGCAUGGGUUAAUACCCUGUGUGGAUGAUGGUACCGGAAUAAGAAGCACCGGCUAACUACGUGCCAGCAGCCGCGGUAAUACGUAGGGUGCGAGCGUUAAUCGGAAUUACUGGGCGUAAAGCGUGCGCAGGCGGUUUUGUAAGACAGGCGUGAAAUCCCCGGGCCCAACCUGGGAACUGCGCUUGUGACUGCAAGGCUAGAGUAUGGCAGAGGGGGGUGGAAUUCCACGUGUAGCAGUGAAAUGCGUAGAGAUGUGGAGGAACACCAAUGGCGAAGGCAGCCCCCUGGGCCAAUACUGACGCUCAUGCACGAAAGCGUGGGUAGCAAACAGGAUUAGAUACCCUGGUAGUCCACGCCCUAAACGAUGUCAACUAGGUGUUGGGAGGGUAAAACCUUUUAGUACCGGAGCUAACGCGUGAAGUUGACCGCCUGGGGAGUACGGCCGCAAGGUUAAAACUCAAAGGAAUUGACGGGGACCCGCACAAGCGGUGGAUGAUGUGGAUUAAUUCGAUGCAACGCGAAAAACCUUACCUACCCUUGACAUGUCCAGGAGCCUGAAGAGAUUUGGGUGUGCCCGAAAGGGAACUGGAACACAGGUGCUGCAUGGCUGUCGUCAGCUCGUGUCGUGAGAUGUUGGGUUAAGUCCCGCAACGAGCGCAACCCUUGUCGUUAAUUGCCAUCAUUCAGUUGGGCACUCUAACGAGACUGCCGGUGACAAACCGGAGGAAGGUGGGGAUGACGUCAAGUCCUCAUGGCCCUUAUGGGUAGGGCUUCACACGUCAUACAAUGGUCGGUACAAAGGGUUGCCAACCCGCGAGGGGGAGCCAAUCCCAGAAAGCCGAUCGUAGUCCGGAUUGCAGGCUGCAACUCGCCUGCAUGAAGUCGGAAUCGCUAGUAAUCGUGGAUCAGCAUGUCACGGCGAAUACGUUCCCGGGUCUUGUACACACCGCCCGUCACACCAUGGGAGCGGGUUCCGCCAGAAGUAGGUAGCCUAACCGCAAGGGGGGCGCUUACCACGGCGGGGUUCGUGACUGGGGUGAAGUCGUAACAAGGUA
rnacentral:rRNA from 1 species